GUGCUUACUUUGCAUUACAUAUACUAAAAUUAGAACAAUACAGAGAAGAUUAACAUAGCCCAUGCACAAAGAUGACACACAAAAUCAUGAAGUGUUCCAUAUUUUA
ensembl:snRNA U6 U6 spliceosomal RNA